AACGUAGGAGACGAGCGUUAUCCGGAUUUACUGGGCGUAAAGAGCGUGUAGGAGGCUUGGCAAGUUGGAUGUAAAAUCUCCCGGCUUAACUGGGAGGCGUCGUUCAAAACUGCCGAGCUUGAGUGCGGAAGAGGUAAUCGGAACUCCGGGAGUAGCGGUGAAAUGCGUAGAUAUCCGGAAGAACACCAGAGGCGAAAGCGGAUUACUGGUCCGUAACUGACACUGAGACGCGAAAGCCAGGGUAGCAAAC
rnacentral:rRNA from 1 species